GAGGCACCUUGAUUAGCCCAGUGUGUGUGUGGGGGGGGGGAUGGUUAAUGAGAGCCCGCUAAUUAAUCAGGAGGCUCCGGGGGGGGGCACCUUGAUGAGCCAUGGUUUCUUGAUGACCUGGGGGGGAGCUAAUGAGAGCCUGCUAAUUAAUAAACUAAUUGGGGUGCUCCGGGGGGGGGGCACCUCGAUGAGCCGCAGUUUCUCAAUGAUCUGGGGAGCUAAUGAGAGCCCACUAAUUAAUGAAUGACUGCAUUAACUGGGGGGCUCAAAGGGGGGCAC
rnacentral:lncRNA from 1 species